UGCGUACGUAAGUAGUGGUAGUACGAACAGGAGUAGAUACCUACGGUAGUACGACGACGGUAAACGAAGUAGGAUACUCGCUGUUGGCGGAGUAUACUGUCAGGACGGCCGAACGACGAAAGACAAUUAAGUAUACCCACCUCGGGGAGGUACGACCGGACGAACGGUGAAACUACAAAGGAAUGACGGGGGCCCGGCGACAAGCGGAGGAACGAUGUGGUUUAAUUCGAUGAUACGCGAGGAACCUUACCCGGGCUUAAAUUGCAGACGAAUUACCUGGAAACAGGUAAGCCGCAAGGCGUCUGUGAAGGUGCUGCAUGGUUGUCGUCAGCUCGUGCCGUGAGGUGUCGGCUUAAGUGCCAUAACGAGCGCAACCCUCGUGGUCAGUUACUAACAGGUUAAGCUGAGGACUCUGGCCAGACUGCCAUCGUAAGAUGUGAGGAAGGUGGGGAUGACGUCAAAUCAGCACGGCCCUUACGUCCGGGGCUACACACGUGUUACAAUGGGAGGUACAGAAGGCAGCUACCCGGCGACGGGAUGCCAAUCCCCAAAACCUCUCUCAGUUCGGAC
rnacentral:rRNA from 1 species